rnacentral:rRNA from 1 species
CGUAGGCAGCAAGCGUUGUUCGGAAUUACUGGGCGUAAAGAGUGUGUAGGCGGUGCUCUAAGUUCGGUGUGAAAUCUCCCGGCUUAACUGGGAGGGUGCGCCGGAAACUGGAGUGCUCGAGCGUGGGAGAGGAAAGCGGAAUUCCUGGUGUAGCGGUGAAAUGCGUAGAUAUCAGGAGGAACACCUGUGGUGUAGACAGCUUUCUGGACCAUAGCUGACGCUGAGACACGAAAGCGUGGGUAGCAAACAGGAUUAGAUACCCUGGUAGUCCACGCCCUAAACGAUGCAUACUUGGUGUCGGCCAUUCAGUUGGUCGGUGCCGGAGCUAACGCGUUAAGUAUGCCGCCUGGGGAGUACGGUCGCAAGGCUG